rnacentral:rRNA from 1 species
UGAGGAAUAUUGCGCAAUGGGCGAAAGCCUGACGCAGCGACGCCGCGUGGGGGAUGAAGGUUUUCGGAUUGUAAACCCCUUUCAUGAGGAAAGAUAAAGUGGGUAACCACUUGGACGGUACCUCAAGAAGAAGCCACGGCUAACUUCGUGCCAGCAGCCGCGGUAAUACGAAGGUGGCAAGCGUUGUUCGGAUUUACUGGGCGUAAAGAGCACGUAGGCGGUUGGGUAAGCCUCUUGGGAAAUCUCUCGGCCUAACCGAGAAAGUUCGAGGGGAACUACUCAGCUAGAGGACGGGAGAGGAGCGCGGAAUUCCCGGUGUAGCGGUGAAAUGCGUAGAUAUCGGGAAGAAGGCCGGUGGCGAAGGCGGCGCUCUGGAACGUGCCUGACGCUGAGGUGCGAAAGCGUGGGGAGCAAACAGG